GACGAACGCUGGCGGCGUGCUUAACACAUGCAAGUCGAACGGAAAGGCCCUGCUUUUGUGGGGUGCUCGAGUGGCGAACGGGUGAGUAACACGUGAGUAACCUGCCCUUGACUUUGGGAUAACUUCAGGAAACUGGGGCUAAUACCGGAUAGGAGCUCCUGCUGCAUGGUGGGGGUUGGAAAGUUUCGGCGGUUGGGGAUGGACUCGCGGCUUAUCAGCUUGUUGGUGGGGUAGUGGCUUACCAAGGCUUUGACGGGUAGCCGGCCGGAGAGGGUGACCGGCCACAUUGGGACUGAGGUACGGCCCCGACUCCUACGGGAGGCAGCAGUGGGGAAUAUUGCACAAUGGGCGGAAGCCUGAUGCAGCAACGCCGCGUGCGGGAUGACGGCCUUCGGGUUGUAAACCGCUUUCGCCUGUGACGAAGCGUGAGUGACGGUAAUGGGUAAAGAAGCACCGGCUAACUACGUG
rnacentral:rRNA from 1 species